GCAGCCGCGGUAAUACGAAGGGGGCUAGCGUUGCUCGGAAUAACUGGGCGUAAAGGGCGUGUAGGCGGUUUAUAGGGUUAGGUGUGAAAUUCCUGAGCUUAACUUGGGGGCUGCAUUUAAUACGUAUAGGCUAGAGUGUGAGAGAGGGUUGUGGAAUUCCCAGUGUAGAGGUGAAAUUCGUAGAUAUUGGGAAGAACACCUGUGGCGAAGGCGGCAACCUGGCUCAUGACUGACGCUGAGGCGCGAGAGCGUGGGGAGCGAACAGGAUUAGAUACCCC
rnacentral:rRNA from 1 species